rnacentral:snRNA from 1 species
GGAUGGGAGGGCGAUCUGGCUGCGACAUCUGUCACCCCAUUGAUCGCCAGGGUUGAUUCAGCUGAUCUGGCCGGUUAGGCGGGUGUGUCCUUCCUCCCUCACUGCUCCAUGUGCAUCCCUCCCGAAGCUGUGCGCUCGGGUCGAAGAGGACGGCCUUCCCUGAUAGAGGAGGAUCGUUCUUCGGUCAAGGGUAUACGAGUAGCUGCUCUCCCCUGCUAGAACCUCCAAACAAGCUCUCAAUGGCAAUAAGUACAUGCCUUUCAAUAAUUACUUGAAACACAAAUGGACUAAAUGUUC